rnacentral:tRNA from 1 species
GGGGAUUUAGCUCAGUGGUAGAGCGCUUGCCUAGCAAGCGCGAGGUCCUGGGUUCGGUCCCCAGCUCCA